rnacentral:lncRNA from 1 species
UCGAGUUAAGCAACCUCUAACAAGAAUCAUGAAGCUUCUAUAAAGAAUCUUGAGGUGCAAAUGGGUCAGCUGUCAAGACAGUUUUCUAUGUUGCAAAACCAAGGAGGUUUCGGUGGAAACACUCACGACAAUCCGAAAAAUGAAACUUGCAAUGGAAUCACUUUGAGGAGUAGAGAGAUACCGGAAAGGCCAGCGGUGGAGAAACCCUUGAAAAAGAAGGUCAUUGCGGGAGAAGUUGAAAAUAGGCAAGAAGUUGUAGUUGAAAAUGAGAGAUAUGAGGGAGAAGUAGAAAAGGAAAAUGUGCCUAAAGAAGUUGAG